rnacentral:rRNA from 1 species
CAGUAGCCGCGGGAAUACGUAGGUCCCGAGCGUUGUCCGGAUUUAUUGGGCGUAAAGCGAGCGCAGGCGGUUAGAUAAGUCUGAAGUUAAAGGCUGUGGCUUAACCAUAGUACGCUUUGGAAACUGUUUAACUUGAGUGCAAGAGGGGAGAGUGGAAUUCCAUGUGUAGCGGUGAAAUGCGUAGAUAUAUGGAGGAACACCGGUGGCGAAAGCGGCUCUCUGGCUUGUAACUGACGCUGAGGCUCAAAAGCGUGGGGAGCAAACAGGAUUAGAUACCCGAGUAGUCCCUGUCUCUUAUACA